rnacentral:rRNA from 1 species
AAAAGGUACUCCGGGGAUAACAGGCUUAUCGCUCCCGAGCGUCCAUAGCGGCGGAGCGGUUUGGCACCUCGAUGUCGGCUCAUCACAUCCUGGGGGUGGAGGAGCUCCCAAGGGUUUGGCUGUUCGCCAAUUAAAGUGGUACGUGAGCUGGGUUCAGACCGUCGUGAGACAGGUCGGUCCCUAUCUGCUGUGGGCGUUCGAAACUUGAGAAGAUUCAACUUUAGUACGAAAGGAUUUAGUUGGACAUACCUCUGGUGUUCCUGUUGUCGCGCUAGCGGCACGGCAGGAUAGCUAUGUAUGGAAUGGAUAAACGCUGAAAGCAUAUAAGCGUGAAGUCGGCUUCAAGAUUAGGUUUCGUAGCAUUUCGCGAGAGUCCCCAAAAAGACGAUUUGGUUGAUAGGUCGGAUGUGUAAGUACAGUAAUGUAUUCAGCUAACCGAUACUAAAGGACGAACGCUUGAUCAC